ensembl:scaRNA
UCUGGAAGCUGUAUAUACGAAUGCAUGCAGGUGGAGUGUCUGCAUGCACUAACAGUCUUCCUAUAGCAAUUUAAUGGAGAUCUCUGCCUAGCUCGGUCAAGAUCAGACUGUCCCAGGUCGUUCCUCUCCGUACACU